ACAAAGCCAAAGGACUAAAAACACAAGACAAAGGGGAUCCACAAGGAGUGACAGGAAUUCUGAACUUCCAGCAUCAUUAUAAGUCAGAAAGGCACUCAAAGAAGGCAUCCUGGAGGUGGUGGUAUUUGGAUGCCCGAACGUCUGAACACAGGAAUUCUGAUGGGGACUUCCAAGAUCUUGUAGAUGAUUCCUCAACCAAUCAGAAAGUGUCCCAAACAUUCUGCAAAACCGCUGCUUCCUGAAGACAGAGCCCUAGAGGCUAAACCAGUCGCAAUAGAACAGGGUGAAGGAAAGCAGCAAGUCUUUUAUUUUGGAAUACAAUGGAAAUUAGAAGUAGCUGGGGUAACGUGUUUGAAAAAGAAGGAAAAAGAAAAAUUAUAUAUGAAGUUUGAGAGUUGGGUGGGGGUAGAGUGUUUUGAGGUGAGCGCAUGUGCUCUUAAGUUCCCCACCCUUGGAUGUUUGUUCUGGGUGACUUUGCCAGCUUCAAGGGGUUUUAAAAAUGUGAAAAAGUUUGAUUCUGCUUUGGGUAGAAAAAUUGAAAGUGAAAAUUUUAUAGUUUGAUUUAACAACCAAUGGAAUUAUAAAAGGCUAUCCACCUCUCAGGAUAAACCUGUAGGAGGGCUUUAUUAAAUCUGGCCUUGCAUAAAUUUUGGCUACGGUAAAGAUAUUGGUUAUUGUGCUUGGAGAUUGUUACAUAAAAUCUUAAAAUGUUUUCCCAGGCCGUUCAAUUAAUUACUGGAACUCUAGAGGCUUUCUGCCUAAGGGGGGGAAAUUGACUACUCCUGGUUAAUUCAAUGCUCCCUUAAGGAAGUAGGAAAGAAAAGGGGAGAGAAUUAUUUAAAGCAGGAAUUAUCACCAUGUGUCUUUUAAAGGGAAUAUAUAAAUUUAUGGAGAAUAUUUCCUUUUAAA